UGGGGUAUAGCCAAGUGGUAAGGCAUCAGGUUUUGGUCCUGACAUUCAGAGGUUCGAAUCCUUUUACCCCAGCCA
rnacentral:tRNA from 1 species